GCUCCAAUAGCGUAUAUUUAAGUUGCUGCAGUUAAAAAGCUCGUAGUUGGAUUUCGGGUGGGGCCUGCCGGUCCGCCGUUUCGGUGUGCACUGGCCGGGCCACCUUGUUGCCGGGACGGGCGUCCUGGGCUUCACUGUCCGGGACUCGGAGUCGGCGAGGUUACUUUGAGUAAUUAGAGUGUUCAAGCAGGCCACCGCUC
rnacentral:rRNA from 1 species